UCCUUCCUUCCUUCCUUUCCAUUCUUCCCUUUCCUUUCUUUCCUUCAUGUUUUAGGUUGUUUAUAUUUAGUCUUAGAAGUCCUGUACCUCAAUAAGUUGAAGAGGCUGUCCUUCAGCUCACAGAGAUCCGCUUAUCUGUGUGGCUGGAAUGUUGUGAUUAAAGGUGUGCAUCCCCACUCCCAUUUGGAUUGAUUUUCAAACAUUUGUUGGUGGUGAGAGUGAACCCAGAGCCUAGAGCAUGUCAGGUCAGAAGAAGCUACCAGAUCUCAUUACAGAUGUCUGUACAACAACAUAUGAUUGCUGGAUAUUGUAGUUAGGACCUUUGGAAUAUUAGCUAGUGUUCUUAACCACUGAGAUAUCUCUCCAGGUCCCUAAUCUUGGAAUCUUCCUCAUCAGUUUUCUAUGCUUUUGUAGAAAAGUAGGGAUGUGAGAUUGAAAGAAUGAGAAGACAGAUACUUGUGACCUUGGGUUUGGAGAGGUUGACCACACAGUGCUUGCUUUUACUAUCUUAUCCAACUCUAUACACGUUGUAUUCAUUUAUGAGUGUAUAUUCACUAUAUACAGACUGCUUGUAUGUUUAUUUCAUAAAUAUUAUAUUACUAAUACUGUUUCUUUGGGAAGCCUGAGGAUGCAGUGUAGAGUCUGAGACAUAUUGCACAUCAUACUUCCAAGGAAUCAUACCCUCAUGCCUUCCCCUGGAUUAUUGUGAAAAUAUGUCUUGUGCUAAUAAAUUAAGCCUCAUUAUUAAAAGGAUAAAUUCUUGAAGGAUAUGAAUAACAAAACAGGCAGAGAUAGCACAAACCUCUAAUCCUAGCACUCAGGAGACAAAGGCAAGUGGAUCUCUCAGUUAGAGGUCAGCCUGGUCUAAAGAAUGAGAUUUCACACAACAAGGGAUACACAGAGAAACCCUGUCUUGAAAAAUUACUCAGUAAAUGAUGAAUAAUAAAUUGAUGUAAGAAAACAGAAUCAAUGCUUGGUGGUGAUGGUGCAUACCUUUAACACCAGCACUUGGGAGGCAGAGGCAAGCUACAAGGACAAAGAUCUUACUGUGAUGUAUUGGGUCUAGGGGAAGAAAGGGGAUGAGCAAAGAAAACUUACAAAUAUUUUAAAAUUUGUUUUACACUGUAAAUGGGUAUUAAAUUAUAAGAGGAAACUAACUGCAA